CGUGGCCUAACGGUGAAGACGCUGGGAUAAAAGCUUGGGGUCGUAGGUUCGAGUCCGGUAA
rnacentral:tRNA from 1 species